CAGGGGUAAACCUGAGAAAUCCAAAAGAUCGAAUGGGGAGAUUCAUCCUUUGCGGCGUUGGCUUCCGUGUGUCACGCGAUGCUCGGGACUUGUCCUGUGGCACGCUGGCUCUGCGGUUUGUCCGGCGGCGCGGUGGUGCACUUCUCCCCUAGUAGGACGUCGCGACCCGUUGGGUGUCGGUCUACGGCCCGAAUCGUCGACUGUUGUAACACGUUCACGCGUGCACGCGACAGACGUUCGGUCGCCCGACCGGCUGCCCGGCGGUAUCGAAAGCUAACUUAAACUGGUAUAGAGCCGCAUUAAUUGCGUCCGACUCGUCGGCCGGCUCGUCUCGCUCGGAUUUACGGACCUUGUGCCGUUGUCGAGCGCUUGAUGGGCUACAAGGUCGUGCGAUGUACUCGGACUGGCUCGUUACAUUCGCAAGGAUGUACCGGUCAGCGACGCUACUGCUUUGGAUACUUUCAGGACCCGUCUU
rnacentral:rRNA from 1 species